AGUGAACGCUGGCGGCAGGCCUAACACAUGCAAGUCGAGCGGCAGCGCGUCCGACCACCCUCGGGUGGUCGGAUGGCGGCGAGCGGCGGACGGGUGAGGAAUGCAUCGGAAUCUGCCUCGUUGUGGGGGAUAACGUAGGGAAACUUACGCUAAUACCGCAUACGACCUACGGGUGAAAGUGGGGGACCUUCGGGCCUCACGCGAUGAGAUGAGCCGAUGCCGGAUUAGCUAGUUGGCGGGGUAAAGGCCCACCAAGGCGACGAUCCGUAGCUGGUCUGAGAGGAUGAUCAGCCACACUGGAACUGAGACACGGUCCAGACUCCUACGGGAGGCAGCAGUGGGGAAUAUUGGACAAUGGGGGCAACCCUGAUCCAGCCAUGCCGCGUGUGUGAAGAAGGCCU
rnacentral:rRNA from 1 species